AGUUGUUGCGGUUAAAAAGCUCGUAGUUGGAUUUCUGUUGAGGACGGCCGGUCCGCACUAUGUGCGUGUAUCUGGUUCGGCCUUGGCAUCCUCUUGAGGAACGUUCCUGCGCUUGAUUGCGUGGGGCGGUAUUCAAGACUUUUACUUUGAGGAAAUUAGAGUGUUCACGGCAGGCAAGCGCCUUGAAUACAUUAGCAUGGAAUAAUAAUAUAGGAUCUUGGUUCUAUUUGUUGGUUUCUAGGGCUAAGGUAAUGAUUAAUAGGGAUAAUUGGGGGCAUUUGUAUUAACGCGUCAGAGGUGGAAUUCUUGGAUUGCGUUACGACAAACUACUGCGAAAGCAUUUGCCAAGGAUGUUUUCAUUGAUCAAGAACGAAAGUAUGGGGAUCGAAGAUGAUUAGAUACCGUCGUAGUCUAUACCAUAAACUAUGCCGACUAGGGAUUGGAGGUCGUUCUUUUUAUGACUCCUUCAGCACCUUAUGAGAAAUCAAAGUCUUUGGGUUCCGGGGGGAGUAUAGUCGCAAGGCUGAAACUUAAAGGAAUUGACGGAAGGGCACCACCAGGAGUGGAGCCUGCGGCUUAAUUUGACUCAACACGGGGAAACUCACCAGGUCCAGACAUAGUAAGGAUUGACAGAUUGAUANCUCUUUCUUGAUUCUAUGGGUGGUGGUGCAUGGCCGUUCUU
rnacentral:rRNA from 1 species